GAUGAACGCUGGCGGCGUGCCUAAUACAUGCAAGUCGAGCGAACGGACGAGAAGCUUGCUUCUCUGAUGUUAGCGGCGGACGGGUGAGUAACACGUGGAUAACCUACCUAUAAGACUGGGAUAACUUCGGGAAACCGGAGCUAAUACCGGAUAAUAUUUUGAACCGCAUGGUUCAAAAGUGAAAGACGGUCUUGCUGUCACUUAUAGAUGGAUCCGCGCUGCAUUAGCUAGUUGGUAAGGUAACGGCUUACCAAGGCAACGAUGCAUAGCCGACCUGAGAGGGUGAUAGGCCCCCCUGGAACUGAGACACGGUCCAGACUACUAAGGGAGGCAGCAGUAGGGAAUGUUCCGCAAUGGGCGAAAGACUGACGGAGCAAGGCCGCGUGAGUGAUGAAGGUCUUCGGAUCGUAAAACUCUGUUAUUAGGGAAGAACAUAUGUGUAAGUAACUGUGCACAUCUUGACGGUACCUAAUCAGAAAGCCACGGCUAACUACGUG
rnacentral:rRNA from 1 species